CCUCUUUCAUACCAACCACAG
rnacentral:miRNA from 1 species